rnacentral:lncRNA from 1 species
AAUUAUACCUUUAUAAAGCUUUUGAUCAAUAUUUUUACUAUUCUCAUCUUUGUCAAGUUUGCAUGAGGGGCUCAUGGGUGUGCCAAUUUCUUUUGCACUCUCCAUCCUAGACAUUUUGAGUACCUCCUUAAUGUACUUAAUUUGAUUGAUAAAAUUUUUUUUCUUUAUUUAUUUCAUUUAAAGGUGAUGUAAGAUUAGAGGAGGAAGGCAGCA